UUCAAGGUGGCCCUCACCUGCAUCAAAUGAGACAUUUUCUGUCAGAAAUAAGAAGUUCUCUGAUCUGGUUGUUAAAUGUUUGAUAAAACUUACAAAGGUUCUUCAAAGCACUAUUUAUGAAGUCGACCUUGACCGCAUCCUUCAAAGCAUCCAUUUGUAUCUGCAAGACUUGGGGAUGGAAGAAAUUAGAAGACGUGCUGGUGCUGAUGACAAGCCAUUGCGCAUGGUGAAAACUGUUCUACAUGAACUAGUGAAGCUUCGAGGAGCUGCUAUUAAAGGUCACCUUUCAAUGGUUCCUAUUGACAUGAAGCCUCAACCAAUAAUUCUUGCUUGCAUUGAUCUUAAUCUAGAGAAAGCUAUAAAAACUGUCCAACCUGCUACUAGAAGAUAAGGGUUUUCUGCCAUUCCUAAUGUAAAAUUGGAAGAUGUAGGUGGACUAGAUCUUAUAAGGAAGGAACUUGAUCGAUUCAUAAUUAGGCAUUUCAAAUACCACGAGAAAUUUAAGUGUGUUUGUGACUGGGAUGAUCAUGAAAAUAAAUUUAUUAAAGUUGAAGGAAUUCUGAGAAGACAGAUAAAGAUGUCUCUUAUUCCUAGUGUGCAACCUUUCCAUGCAAUAGCCUAUCCAAUUGAUCCAAUGCUUGCACUGGAGAUAAGUCGUAAAUAUGCUGCACACUGCUCUGUCAUUGCAUCUCGUUUUUCUCUUCCUUCCUUCAAUUAUCCAGCAGCCUUGCCCAUAAAGAGCGAAGGUGGCAGUAAAAGGCUAAGGGUCGGGCUGAUAUGACCAUGUUAGAAGACGAACUACCAACAAAAAGAUGACUUUCAUCAGCCCUUGUCAAGGUGGAAACUAGCUUAAGUCUUAUGUUCUUAAUAAUAAAAGGACUUUUUUUUUUACAAUGUGCAGGUGUAUUGACAUGAUUUCUUUGGAGCAAUUCUUGACAACAUUUGUAGUUGAGGCCUUUAGAAUGGAAGAAUGUAUUUCACUAAUUUUUGUAUACAUUUCUUGUUUUGUAUUUAGUGAUAAAGGAAUCUGAAUUGGGCAUAAAUUAUAUUGUAAUAUGA